UGUACUUUCCUUCAUGCUGCUCUGUUCUUAGAAAAGCUCUUGUGCUCUCCCUUCCCAUUCGUAUACAAAAUCAGUCCUGGGAACACACUGAACUUUGCUGCUUUGUUCUGUUUCAGUCUGAACUGCUACUACACUCCAAGAUUUCCAGCAAAGAUACCUUUUUCAGAAUGGCAAAUUAUCAUUAGAGAUUUCAUGCAAGACGAAAGGCUCUGCUGCUCAAGUUCAGAGGAAAUAGAGUCACGGGCUGAUACUGACAGAACACAACAGUGCUGGGCACAAGAAUGAUGCGAAGCCAAAUUAAAACAGCAUCCAUUGAAACAGAUUCAUCAGAGUCUUAAGGACUACACCAUCAUUAAAAGCCAUGUCAGCUGAUCUCGUAAAACCUUACUUCUACAAACCUACCUACCUUCAGGAGUUAGGACAUCUCUACACCACUUUCAGUUCACAUGGCACACCCCUAGAGUAUCUUAAAGCCUCAGACACCUGCGCAAAUUCUUCAGCCUCAUAAUCACAUAUGACACUGUGCUCACUUAUUUUUCUUAAGAUAAAUAAAAUCCAGAAGUAUAUGGACAACUUUAAUCGUCCCAUGGCAUCUUGGUCCCAGCAGGUCUCAGCCCUGCAGGUGAAGCACAACAAGCAGCACCACACCUGAAGAACCUCACCAGGGCCACAGACUAUGACUACAGGUCUAACCAGCUGGGGUACCAAAAGUGACAGAGUGGGCAGUAGAAAUAAAGACACCAUGUAACUCUUGCUUGAAACAGCAGUGUUCCUUCAGCUUCUACAAAAAAAUAAAUUAAAAAGUCACUAUGAUACUGA